rnacentral:rRNA from 1 species
AUUGAACGCUGGCGGCAGGCCUAACACAUGCAAGUAGAACGAGUGGCGGACGGGUGAGGAAUGUCUGGGAAACUGCCUGAUGGAGGGGGAUAAAUACUGGAAACGGUAGCUAAUACCGCAUAGCAUCAGGUGUGCACAGAUGGGAUUAGCUAGUAGGUGGGGUAACGGCUCACCUGGGCGACGAUCCCUAGCUGGUCUGAGAGGAAGACCGACCACACGGUAACUGAGACACGGUCCAGACGCCUACGGGAGGCAGCAGUGGGGAAUAUGGCACAAUGGGCGCAAGACUGAUGCAGCCAUGCCGCGUGUGUGAAGAAGGCCUUCGGGUUGUAAAGCACUUUCAGCGGGGAGGCGUUACCCGCAGAAGAAGCACCGGCUAACUCCGUGCCAGCCGCCGCGGUAAUUC